GUAGGUGGCAAGCGUUGUCCGGAAUUAUUGGGCGUAAAGCGCGCGCAGGCGGUUCUUUAAGUCUGAUGUGAAAGCCCACGGGCUCAACCGUGGAGGGUCAUUGGAAACUGGAGAACUUGAGUACAGAAGAGGAAAGCGGAUUCCACGUGUAGCGGUGAAAUGCGUAGAGAUGUGGAGGAACACCAGUGGCGAAGGCGGCUUUCUGGUCUGUAACUGACGCUGAGGCGCGAAAGCGUGGGGAGCAAACAGGAUUAGAUACCCUGGUAGUCCACGCCGUAAACGAUGAGUGCUAAGUGUUAGGGGGUUUCCGCCCCUUAGUGCUGCAGCUAACGCAUUAAGCACUCCGCCUGGGGAGUACGGCCGCAAGGCUG
rnacentral:rRNA from 1 species